rnacentral:rRNA from 1 species
GUUUAGGGCCAUGCCACCCUGAACAAGCCCAAUCUAAGCAGGGUCAGGUCUGGUUAAUACUUGGAUGGGAGAUCACCUAGGAAGACCAGGUGCUGUAGGCG